rnacentral:lncRNA from 1 species
GAAAACAAUGGGUUGAAAUAUCUAUUGAUAUUGUACAAGAAGUAUUUUAUUGAAGGCUUAAGUUAUUACUCAACAAAUAAAAAUUGAAAUUAUGAACAGGCGAGAUCAAUUUAGAAGCACUUUUUUUUUCUUCAGAAUAUAGCAGACAGAAUUCCAUUGGUAUAAUUUUGGACCUUCCAAUCUAUUUUUUCUCUAUCUAUUCUACAACCAUACGAAGAUAAAUAAUACUGAUUCGGUCCUAAAAUUUAUUUGUGACCCACAAG